GAACACUCGAACUAACUUCGACUGUCGAACUUACGCCAUUAGUGAAGACACCGAGAUACAGGAUUGUUUUGGUAGGGGCGGAGUUAACAGUAUUAUGCCACUAUGUGGAUUCCUAUGUUUACUUGGUUACCAUUGAACGUGAUUUAAGAUAUGUACAAGAAAAUUGUGCCUAUACCUUUAAUAUUAAUAAACAAUGCUUUAUAAUUGAAUUUAACAUCCGGCAAGGCCAAUAAGUAUAUGUACAUAUAUGUAACCACAUAUUAAGAGCAGUUUACUGUGUGUGGUAACAGAAAGCCGUCGGCGAGAAUUGCUACCCAUUUUUUAAAAGGCUCUAACCACGCAAAAAAUGGCUGUUUAGCUCCGAAAUAGAAUCGGAUGAGACCCCUUGACCGUGGCGUCCGAUUAAGAUCUACUCAGUGAAUCCGCUCAUUUGAACCAUAGAAUGGGUGGAAAAUGGCGAAAAUGUACGUUGAGGAUGGAGAGCGAGCACAGUGUCGUAGGAUUACUAGUUAAUCGCAUUCGUUUGUCUGAUAUUCGUUUGCUAAUUAAUCUGUCAAUUGUAAAGUGAUUGAUUCCGAAUUUUUUUAUGCAACAGAAAAUUGCUUAACGUUUAAAGUUGUUAUCAUACUGUGCUGUAACUACAGAUGCGAGUAGCAACAUGGAUAUCGUAGAAUACAUUGUAAUGCCCAUUAUAUUCCUCACGCGUUGUUAUUUAUGAUUACUAAUUUGUUCUGCCUCCAUACUUAGUAAGUAAAUAGUAUAAUUUACCAUUCAAAUUUAGUAUUGCAAAACAAAUUUGUAACUGAAUUUUAUGCCAAGUCAUAUGUUUUUUAUCGGAAACUUAUAACCUGUAUGUAUAAUCUGAUGUUAUAAUUUAGUUAUAGAUAUAUAUUUGCUAUGUAUACUUUUGACUAU